GACGAACGCUGGCGGCGUGCUUAACACAUGCAAGUCGAACGGAAAGGCCCUGCUUUUGUGGGAUGCUCGAGUGGCGAACGGGUGAGUAACACGUGAGUAACCUGCCCUUGACUUUGGGAUAACUUCAGGAAACUGGGGCUAAUACCCGAUAGGAGCUCCUGCUGCAUGGUGGGGGUUGGAAAGUUUCGGCGGUUGGGGAUGGACUCGCGGCUUAUCAGCUUGUUGGUGGGGUAGUGGCUUACCAAGGGUUUGACGGGUAGCCGGCCUGGGAGGGUGACCGGCGACAUUGGGACUGAGGUACGCACCAGACUCCUACGUGAGGCAGCAGGGGGAAAUAUUGCACAAUGGGGGGGAGCCUGAUGCAGAAACGCCGCGUGCGGGAUGACGGCUUGCGGGUUGUAAACCGCUUUCGCCUAUGACGAAGCGUGAGUGACGGUAAUGGAUAAAGAAGCACCGGCUAACUACGUG
rnacentral:rRNA from 1 species